rnacentral:rRNA from 1 species
CCUACGGGAGGCUGCAGUGAGGAAUAUUGGUCAAUGGACGAGAGUCUGAACCAGCCAAGUAGCGUGAAGGAUGACUGCCCUAUGGGUUGUAAACUUCUUUUAUAUGGGAAUAAAAUGUUCCACGUGUGGGAUUUUGUAUGUACCAUAUGAAUAAGGAUCGGCUAACUCCGUGCCAGCAGCCGCGGUAAUACGGAGGAUCCGAGCGUUAUCCGGAUUUAUUGGGUUUAAAGGGAGCGUAGGUGGAUUGUUAAGUCAGUUGUGAAAGUUUGCGGCUCAACCGUAAAAUUGCAGUUGAAACUGGCAGUCUUGAGUACAGUAGAGGUGUGCGGAAUGCGUGGUGUAGCGGUGAAAUGCUUAGAUAUCACGAAGAACUCCGAUUGCGAAGGCAGUUCACUGGACUGCAACUGACACUGAGGCUCGAAAGUGUGGGUAUCAAACAGGAUUAGAUACCCGGGUAGUC